ACAAGUGUGACAUCAGCGGUCAUGGAGAGUCUCCAUCCAGCUGGAUCACUGUCACAGACAAACACACCACCACACCUCCACCUACAUCCACAACUCUGGCUUCAUCCACUUCUCCUCCAUCACUGUCCUCCACUGCUCUCUCUGUGUUGUCAUUUCUUAAAUCGAUCUGUGGGUUCUUACUGGUGUUACUGGUUCUGUUAGGGAGGACACGUGUUCACAGGAAAACUGAAGUUGAUGGAGGAGACGUUAGAGAUGACAUCACGCACAGUCACAGAAAAUCGCAAGUCAUCAACAACAGCCAAUCAGAGGAAGCAAAGGUAGUUUUUAAUACACUGUGUGUUGGGGGUUCAUGUUAAUAUUCAGAGGAACUAUAAACGUUGGUUAAAGGAACACUGUGAACUCACUGGGCUUAAACUAAUAUGUCACACAACUUUAUGAAUACAAUAUUUCGAUAUGUACAAAAAGUCUCAAACAAAUUCAAACAUUGGUGACCUUGACCUCAGAUUCAGAUGUAAAGUUCUCUGAAAGUCUUUUUAAUGCAAAAAGUCAAAGAGGUCAUGCAGGAUUUCUUAAAACAAUGCCAUAGAUGUAUUUACUCAGGAAUAAUAGAUUAUCUACUGAUAAUCUCUGACCAUCUGGAAUUUGGCAACUUCAACACAAUUCAUGCACAUUUUAUUUUAAAUGUUUCUUAUUGUUUCAGUAUAAGAAACAAUGGAAACGUCAUAUAUAUAUAGUAGCAGACCUGUUUCAAUCUUUAAUAAAAUAACAUUCAAAACUUUUUCCCAGUUGACAUUCAGUGUUUUUUUCAUAGUAAUCACUCUCCUGCUCUAACUGGAUUUUGAUUAUAGAUUUUCAUUUCAACAUUAAAGUCUGGAAUAUUUUUAAACCUGGUAAAGGAUGACCUUGUAGUCCUGUCUUCCAGUACUUGUGCUCUCUGGAAUUUUUGUGCCACCUAAAGCCAGGAGAGAAGAAGAGGCCAACAGAGAGCAGAGAUCCUGAGAAAGCUGAAAGUUGGGAGACAGGAGAGAGAAGAGUUGUGUUAGGCUGCUUUUGGCCGACAGAACAGAGUUGUAUGUUCUGAGUAUGUAGGUGACCGUUAAUGAAUGCUGUUCUUUGCAUGUGUUUUUCAGCCUGUGGUUAGUCUGUUAACAGAAACUAACAGCUCUGUGGUCGUCAUGUUUCCUCUGUCAGAUAAAAAUACUUCAGCUGCUCAGGUUGUGCUGCAGGACUGUUAGUGUGCAAACAGAAUCACACUUAGUUCAGUUCUCCUCACAUACAGUGGCUUGCAAAAGUAUUCGGCCUCCUUGAACUUUUCCACAUUUUGUCACAUUACAGCCACAAACAUGAAUAAAUCUUAUUGGAAUUCCACCUGAAAGACCAAUACAAAAAUCAUACUUGAAGUAAAAUUUAAAUGAACUGCACCGAAUCAUCUCAAACUGUCCUAAAACCACAACAGCUCCUCCUGCUGUUUCCACUGAGCUGAAAAAUGAUGACAGACAAGGAUCUCUCCUCACUGUGCUGACCAUAAUGCACAGUAUAUACAGUGUGACAAAGUGUGGGUCUGUUUUGUACCUUCUGAUAAAAUGUUUUUUUCUUCUUAUAUUGUUUAACAUCAGCAAACAAAUAUAACAAGUGAGUCUUAUCCCCACAAAAAAGAACUGAUUCAAUUUUUAGGAAAUAUUUUCAUUGUGCUAAAUAGAAAGCAGUACUAAAUUGCUGUCUUUUUUUUUUUUAACACAAAUCCUUUUUAAUAUUACCACUUUUAUAACUUGUAGCAUGUCAUGUCCUCUGUGUGUGUUUUAUUGUACAGAGAGUGAUCCUCUUCCCGUCCACUCAGCCCUGAGAGCUGAAGAAAUCAUUUAUGGACAAACAGCUGUCUGAACAAACAGGCCCUGAGGUACAGCUGCUCUUUAUUUACUAAAAGCAGAAUAAUUCUUAUUUCAAAAUAUCACUGGUGUCAUUAUAUGAAUUAUAACUGUUACAUACUACAGUAAUGCUUUAUUGUCAUCAAGAAUUCUGAGAUCUGACUUUAUGUUUACUGUGCAGGACAGAAGAAAAGAGAUGUAUAUUGUACAUUAGUGUCAUCAUUAUUUUUAUUGAAAUGAUCUCAUGAGAAAUGUGUCCAAACCCUUUCACUGGUAAGGUCUGAAUUUAAAAUGUUCAAAGUACAAAAGUACAAAAGUAUAGGAUCAGCAGAAUUUGCCCAAGAAUGAAAGUAAAACUAGAGCUUAUGACUUAUAUCUGAUUUUAUCCUACUGUACAUUACAUUACUGUUCCUUGUAUUCAUGAGGAGAACAUGUCCACAACAGUCUUUAGUCUGUCCAUGAGACAACUACUACUAUUUUCAUAGAAGAGCUUCUUUUUUUUUACAAAGCAAUUUCUCUAAGUUUUUUUUUCCACACAGACAUAUUUUAAACUCCUGAUGUGACAUCAUAACAGUUCUGCCUGAUGGUUCAUGUAUCCUCUGCAAAAAUGAGGCUCUUAUCUUUUUAAUGUGAUGUAGGGUUUGUCUCUUUUGUUUAAUAGAAGUGAGCAUGCAGAUUAUUAAGUUGUUUUCCUUUGCCUCUGUUUCUUUUUAUAAAUAGUUGAAUAUCAUAAACUAUACAACAGCAUGUGACAGAUCUGACAAACUUAGCACGUCAAUUGUAAAAAUCACUUUUAUAAAGAUGAAAUCACAUCAGCAGCAUCCUCCACCUGUAAGCUGUAAACAUCUUGUAAACUGUAUGAACAUAGGAAGAUUUGUCCUCUCUAAGUAAUUGAUUUUAGUAAGUUUAUUUUGCAUUUUGUAGUUAACAUUUUUUGUGCGGCUGUUUUGGCUGUUAAUAGGUUAAACUUGACCUUAUAGUUGGGUGUGUGAUAGAGAGCAAAUUGAAAUCACUUUCAUGUCAAAAAUAUUGUCAGGUGCAGGUGCUGUGCAAUAUAAUACUUUACACUUUUUAUUCAUUAUUUAAUCCUUCACAUUUACGUCAUACUUACUUCAUGCUUAAUACUGAAACUUCUUUAAAUUCCUCCCAAAUUUAGAGCCGAUCAGUUUAACUUCAAACUGAACUCACACAUAUACUGUCUGUAUACAGUGUAACUAAAAAUAACUAAAAUAUAAAUGUAAUGCAUUGUUUUGAAUGUCCUCUGUAGCUUUGCUCUUUGUGUGGCACCGUGCAGUUGAUUCUACAGCGUUGUCCUGCUUUCUCUGCAGCAUUAAUAAACUUUGCUGUCACAUGUU